AGGAAAUUGAAACUGGGAGCUUUGGGGACUUGCCGGAGCAGGUGAGAAUGACUCUCACACCGAGACUCCUAGAGACAUCCCGCUCCCUGAUAAUCACAGUGGUUCAGUUCUCAGAACACGGGCUUUCCUUACCUUGCCACUAUUGACACUUGGAGCCAGAUAAUUCUUGGUUGUGAGGAUCUGUCCUGUGUGUUGUAGUAUGUUUUGUAACAUCUUUCCUUUGCCUACAAGGUGCCAGUAGCAAUCCCCCUAGUUAUGUCUCCAAACAUUGCCUAAAAUCUCCAGGAGGACAACAUCAUCUGAUUGAAAACCACUUGACUAAUGGAAUCGGGCUCCAUGACAAACGGCUUCUCCCGUUUACCUGGUUUACUCUUUCCUGUCUGCGUGCCAACAGGGGCCUCAAUUUUUUUUGUGUGUGUGACAAAUUAUAAAAAGCUACAGUGAAUUUGCCUUGCACUACGUCCUGACAGCAUAAUCAAAUAACAGUUUUCAACCUACUGCCUGCACAGCAAGAAGACAAAGUGUGUAAGGACGGGAGCCACAUUUUUUUUCCUUUAAUAAAUCUUCGUUCAGUGAAUGAAAAAGUGGAUUGCUGCUGCUAACCACGAGCCAAGCAGGUUACAGACUCUACACACAUUAUACAGUUUCAUUCCCCAACCACCUAUGCAUUACAUAUUAAAAGGCCUGUUUCUGAAAGGCAGAGUGUAGAGGAUUUGUAGGGCAGUGAAAAGGUAUCCAUAAUCAGUGAUCUAUUGCCAAACCUUAACAGGAAGUCACAUGGCCAAGGAGAACACGGUUUGUGGAGUUCCAGCACCAGCCUCAAAGCAGAGCAUGGAAGGAUUUUGGUUUGGCUGGCACAGAAGUAUGACCACAAGAUGGACCUAAAAUAUGCACAUUUGUAAGAUUUUCCCCCAUGGUGGGAUUCACACCAUCUGCUCCCCGGUUCUCUGAUCCAAUCUGUAUUCAUCACCAGAUUUCCUGGGUUUCUAACUUACAGACAACAAAUUGUGAGACUUCUCAGCCUCCAUAAUCACAUGAACCACCUUCUCUUAAUAAAUAUAUGUAUUUAUGUGCUGGGCUCAGUGGCUGACACCUUUAACACCAGCAAUUCAGGAGGCCGAGGUGGGCGGAUCACCUGAGGUCGGGAUUUAGAGACCAGCUUGACCAACAUGGAGAAACCCCAUCUCUACUAAAAAUACAAAAUUAGCCAGGACUGGUGGCUUAUGCCUGUAAUCCCAGCUAUUUGGGGGGCUGAGGCAGGAGAAUUGC
rnacentral:lncRNA from 1 species